rfam:Rhodnius prolixus Rhodnius_prolixus-3.0.3-7145.1, whole genome shotgun sequence.
GUUAAUUAAUGUUGUAGUCUUGACUGCAGUAUUGUUAAUUACAAAGUUUAUUACUAUAUCAUCAUUAUGUCUUGAUGAGUAAGAGGGCCGCGGCGAUGAGCGCAGAAGGGUCUGGGCGAGAGCCCGCCUGGAGCCGUCGCUGGUGCAGAUCUUGGUGGUAGUAGCAAAUACUCCAGCGAGGCCCUGGAGGACUGAUGUGGAGAAGGGUUUCUUGUGAACAGCUGUUGCACAAGAGUCAGUCGAUCCUAAGCCCUAGGAGAAAUCCGAAGCGAUAUGCGCCCGUUAAAUAAUUUUUUUUUAUUAAAUGUUUGGCGCUAUCUGGGCGAAAGGGAAUCCGGUUCCUAUUCCGGAACCCGGCAGCGGAACCGUUCCAAAUCGGGCUCUCAUUUGAGAACUCGUCGGGGUAACCCGACAAGACCCGGAGACGCCGUAGGGAAAUUCGGAGAGAGUUGUCUCUUCUCUAUAAGCGUUCGAGUUCCCUGGAAACCUCUAGCAGGGAGAUAGGGUUUGGAACGCGAAGAGCACCGCAGUUACGGCGGUGUCCGGAUCUUCCCUACGGACCUUGAAAAUCCGGGAGAGGGCCACGAGGAACCCCGCGCCGGCUCGUACCCAUAUCCGCAGCAGGUCUCCAAGGUCAAUAGCCUCUAGUCGAUAGAAUAAUGUAGGUAAGGGAAGUCGGCAAAUCCGAUCCUUAACUUCGGGAUAAGGAUUGGCUCUGAGGACUGAGUCGUGCCGGGCUUGGUCGGGAAGUGGAGCGGUGUCAACGUGCCGGGCCUGGGCGAGGAGAAAAUUGCGUUUCUGCGCUUUUGGAUCCGAGCUCGGUCCCGUGCCUUGGCCACCCACGGAUCUUCCUUGCUGCGAGUCGUUAGCCGUGUGGUUACCGCUGGCUUUUGCUAGCUGGUCGACCUGGCUUACGAUCUCUUCGGCCGACAUUCAACAGUCAACUCAGAACUGGCACGGACAAGGGGAAUCCGACUGUCUAAUUAAAACAAAGCAUUGCGAUGGCCCCAACGGGUGUUGACGCAAUGUGAUUUCUGCCCAGUGCUCUGAAUGUCAAAGUGAAGAAAUUCAAGCAAGCGCGGGUAAACGGCGGGAGUAACUAUGACUCUCUUAAGGUAGCCAAAUGCCUCGUCAUCUAAUUAGUGACGCGCAUGAAUGGAUUAACGAGAUUCCCUCUGUCCCUAUCUACUUUACCAAGCCCAAUUGCUUGCAAUUGCGGUAGGAUUCGUAGUGGCCGUUGGUUAACCAUUAGCUCCGCUGUCCUAGGACAUGAGCUGAGCGGAAGUACACCGCUAUAGAAACUAGAGUACAUAUAGCCAUCAUAAGAUGGAAGUGCCUUUCGCUAGGAGGCGCGGCUGACCAGAGCUAAAGUAGAGUUUGCCUUCUCUACGAUCUGGGAGUGGAGUCGACGUGUGUCAGCUCCAUGCGCUGGUUGAGCGUGAUCUCAACCCGCCUCAUUGGAGGCCAAGCGGGGGAGUGCCUGGGUGGGCACUUCUACCAUGGGGAGGCCUAGCACUUCAGCCUCUCUGUGGUGGUGACAUCCUUCUCUUGUAAAACGACCUUGUGCUUGCACAGGGGGUCUGGUAUAUCCGAAAGGAUAGGAACGGACCUUAAAGAACCCCUAGUACUGAAUAGGAACGGGAAGACGGGAAAGAAUGUCCCUAUCUACUAUCUAGCGAAACCACGGCCAAGGGAACGGGCUUGGAAAAAUCAGCGGGGAAAGAGACCCUGUUGAGCUUGACUCUAGUCUGGUACUGUAAGAAAA